UGGGGAAUAUUGGACAAUGGGCGAAAGCCUGAUCCAGCCAUGCCGCGUGAGUGACGAAGGCCUUAGGGUUGUAAAACUCUUUCGUCGGGGACGAUAAUGACGGUACCCGAAGAAGAAGCUCCGGCUAACUUCGUGCCAGCAGCCGCGGUAAUACGAAGGGAGCUAGCGUUGUUCGGAAUCACUGGGCGUAAAGCGCACGUAGGCGGAUAGUUAAGUCAGGGGUGAAAUCCUGGGGCUCAACCCCAGAACUGCCUUUGAUACUGGCUGUCUCGAGGUCGAGAGAGGUUGGUGGAAUUCCUAGUGUAGAGGUGAAAUUCGUAGAUAUUAGGAAGAACACCAGUGGCGAAGGCGGCCCCCUGGGCUAACACUGACGCUCAUGCACGAAAGCGUGGGGAGCAAACAGGAUUAGAUACCCAUGUAGUCCCUGAGCGGGCUGGCAAGGCGCAU
rnacentral:rRNA from 1 species